GUGGUAAUGCCGGAUGCUCCGGUUGGAUGCAUGUCCUUCCGGGAAAGAUCCGUCGGUAUGGGAUGGGGUCGCGUCCUAUCAGCUUGAUGGCGGGGUAACGGCCCACCAUGGCUUCGACGGGUAGCCGGCCUGAGAGGGCGACCGGCCACAUUGGGACUGAGAUACGGCCCAGACUCCUACGGGAGGCAGCAGUGGGGAAUAUUGCACAAUGGGCGCAAGCCUGAUGCAGCGACGCCGCGUGCGGGAUGGAGGCCUUCGGGUUGUAAACCGCUUUUGAUCGGGAGCAAGCCCUUCGGGGUGAGUGUACCUUUCGAAUAAGCACCGGCUAACUACGUGCCAGCAGCCGCGGUAAUACGUAGGGUGCAAGCGUUAUCCGGAAUUAUUGGGCGUAAAGGGCUCGUAGGCGGUUCGUCGCGUCCGGUGUGAAAGCCCAUCGCUUAACGGUGGGUCUGCGCCGGGUACGGGCGGGCUGGAGUGCGGUAGGGGAGACUGGAAUUCCCGGUGUAACGGUGGAAUGUGUAGAUAU
rnacentral:rRNA from 1 species